GUGCUCACUUUGGCAGCACAUAUACUAAAACUGGAACAAUACAGAGAAGAUUAGCAUGGUCCUUGAACAAGGAUGAUACACAAUUUGUGAAGCAUUCCUUAUUUUU
rnacentral:snRNA from 2 species